rnacentral:ncRNA from 2 species
UCGCGACAUGGCGCUGAUUUGUAUUUCGGCUUGCGGGCGCAUUAUAAAUAUCGCUAAAGAGAAAGGUUGACGACGGGA